GCACUAGUAGCUCAGUAUCCAGAGCGUCG
rnacentral:tRNA from 1 species